ensembl:lncRNA LOC102551322 uncharacterized LOC102551322
GACAGGAGCAGAGAUGGGCUUGGAGGUAGAGUUGGAUGGCUUCCCCUUAAGUACACAGAGUUAAAGGGAACUGAAUGAUCAAAGAAGGGGUAGAUUGAUUUCUACAACGGAGGAGAGAGGAUAGGUCAGUGAAGACAGGAAGCAUCACUGGAUCCUUCGGCAUAGAGGAACCCUUGAGUGUGUGUCUUCUUUCUGUUUGCCUCCUCCUCUCUGCAUCUGUCUGAGGUUGAGCUGCCUAGAUUCCUGCAGAACCAAGGUCACGGGAAAGGUCUUGAGGCUCACAGGGUCAGAGCUGCACACCUCCUUGGAAGACACCAGGAUUUGCUCUCAUUCCACAGAUGACCCAAGAGCUCCUAGACUUGUCUAGAAGACACGUGGAGAACCAGAAUGACAAGGCCUGCUCCUGUGUAUGUGUCCUAAAGGCACUUCCUGUCUGGACUAGUGCAGGAGAUCAGAGUCUCAAAUUCAAGAGCAAGAUAAAUAACCUAUAGAGGGGGAACUUCUUGGAUGAGGUCAACAAGCACCCACAAUUCCUUCAAAGGACAAUGAUCAUGGUUUGGACGGUCAUGACUUUUUGUGGAACAGCAGAGCAGGGAAAGAGUAUGCUUUCUGCUAAAAUCGGCAACAUCAUCUCCUCUGGGAACUCUUAAGAAGCCUGUUACCUGACCUCUUCACAGCCGCACAAACCCAGUCGCCAAUAUUUGCAUACUUUCUCCAAGGACGCAGUUCCCCCGGGACAGUUCAUAAAUCCACAUCUUGGGAAAUGUUCAUAGGAUGCUACAAACUAAACAGGGCUUUGUUAAAUAAAGCUGGGGUGUACUGAUGGCA